rnacentral:rRNA from 1 species
GACGAACGCUGGCGGUGUGCUUAACACAUGCAAGUCGAACGGUAAGGCCCUUUCGGGGGUACACGAGUGGCGAACGGGUGAGUAACACGUGAGUAACCUGCCCUCAUCUCUGGGAUAACAGUCGGAAACGGUUGCUAAUACUGGAUAUGAGCUUGCAAGGCAUCUUGUGGGUUGGAAAGAUUUUUUUUGGUUGGGGAUGGACUCGCGGCCUAUUAGCUUGUUGGUGAGGUAGUGGCUCACCAAGGCUUCGACGGGUAGCCGGCCUGAGAGGGCGACCGGCCACAUUGGGACUGAGAUACGGCCCAAACUCCUACGGGAGGCAGCAGUGGGGAAUAUUGCACAAUGGACGGAAGUCUGAUGCAGCAACGCCGCGUGCGGGAUGACGGCCUUCGGGUUGUAAACCGCUUUCAAUUGUGACGAAGCUUUUUUGUGACGGUAGCAGUAGAAGAAGCACCGGCUAACUACGUG